GCAGUGCAGCUCAGUUGGGAGAGCGUUAGACUAUUGAUCGAAAGGCUCUUUGUUCGAUCCCGGAUUAUGGCA
rnacentral:tRNA from 1 species